AACACCAGGACCCUGAAACCCUGAAGAAGUUAAAGAGAAUGGCCCUCUGUGAAAAAGUCCUCAAACCUCAUUAUUGUCUGAGAUUAAAAACACAGCAGUAUACUGAGCCAGGGUGUCGGCACGGCCAUGAUGACAUCACGUCAUCGCCACAUCAUCACAGCAUGACCAGCGCCCAUUCUUUGAUGAUGUCACAGCUAAGACUGCCAAUCCUGGAUCAGCUCCAGUGCGGAUGGGGAGCCAAUCAACGGCAGCUGUUUACAAGGUCAUGACCCCGCCCACCCAGGUUGGCAAGUUCAGAGUUGAACCGAGUCAACUUGAAGAUGCUUAAAGAUCUCAUGAAAUAGGCACUUCCAAGUCUGGAAAAGAGUGAAUCUUCAGUGGACACUUCAUGCUGCGCUUGUGGGUGUAACA